ACCCGCUGAAUUUAAGCAUAUAAGUAAGCGGUGGAAAAUGAACCAAAUGGGAUUCCUUAAGUAAUUGCGAAUGAAAAAGGAUAUGCUCAGCUUGAAAAUUGAAGCUUCUGGUUUUGAAUUGUAGUUUUGAAAUGUAUUGCCGAUGGAGGUGCAGGUGUAAGCCUGUUGGAAAACAGUGUCAGUGAGGGUGAGGUGCCUUUUUGUCAUUUGCAGUCCUCCAAGCACGGUAUAUAUUUGACGAGUCACACUCCUUGGCAUUGGAAUGCAAAGUGGGUGGUAAAUUCCAUGAAAAGGGAAAUACAUUUUUGAGACUGAUAGCAAACAAGUACCAUGAGGGAAAUAUGAAAAGGACUUUGAAAAGAGAAUUAAAAGAGUCUGCAUUUGCUGAACAGAAAGCAAACAGAAUGAAUUCUGCUUGGUUAGAUUAUUGUGCCGUCUGCUUUGCUUUUGUGUUGCAUCAGGGUGCAAUGGUUCUUUCCUUGAAUGCCAGCUUUAUUUCUGCAAAUCGUAAUCUUUGUGCAUGAAUGGAAAUACGUCUGCGGGUAUUGGAUUGCAUGUGUUUGUGGUGAUUUGUGAUUUACCUAUAUGUGUGUCUUGUGUUGGUAGCUUGUGAGCUUAAGGGUUGUUUUCAUUCUUGAGCAUGGGAAAACCUUGAUUGCAUAUUUGCUGGCAACAUGUUUCUGCUUGACCCGUCUUGAAACACGGACCAAGG
rnacentral:rRNA from 1 species